rnacentral:rRNA from 1 species
GACGAACGCUGGCGGCGUGCUUAACACAUGCAAGUCGAACGGUAAGGCCCUUCGGGGUACACGAGUGGCGAACGGGUGAGUAACACGUGGGUGAUCUGCCCUGCACUUCGGGAUAAGCCUGGGAAACUGGGUCUAAUACCGGAUAGGACCCUGGGAUGCAUGUCCUGGGGUGGAAAGCUUUUGCGGUGUGGGAUGGGCCCGCGGCCUAUCAGCUUGUUGGUGGGGUGAUGGCCUACCAAGGCGACGACGGGUAGCCGGCCUGAGAGGGUGACCGGCAACACUGGGACUGAGAUACGGCCCAGACUCCUACGGGAGGCAGCAGUGGGGAAUAUUGAACAAUGGGCGCAAGCCUGAUGCAGCGACGCCGCGUGAGGGAUGACGGCCUUCGGGUUGUAAACCUCUUUCAGCACCGACGAAGCGCAAGUGACGGUAGUAGCAGAAGAAGGACCGGCCAACUACGUGCCAGCAGCCGCCGUAA